UUAGUCUCUAAGGUGCCACAAGUACUCCUGUUCUUUUUAGAAUUAAAUGGUCACUUCUGAGAAUAGUGAGACUUGAGAAUGAGGGAUGAAAAGGGAAAACUGAGAGAACAUGAAUGGAGAGGAAAAUAUAGCAGGGAGUGAAGAAGAGAGACUUUGGACUAAGAAGAGAAGAGGAAAGAGAAUAGAAAAUUGGGGAGGAUGCAGAAUGUGGCAUGAGACAGAAUUAGGAGAAUAGAAAUGCAUCAUCAAAGUAGAAGAAAAGUUGAAAAUAUUUUCAUAGAGAGAAAAGCAGAGACCGUGAGGAGAGAGAAGGCAAAAAUCACUAUAGAGAAAUGAAGAAGAAUAAAAAAAGGAAGAGCAGCAGACAAGGGAAUAAGGAAAUGGAAAAGGGAAAAUAAAAGCAGCUCAACAAGAGGAUUAAAUGAGAGAAAGGCAAUGUCUUCAAAGAGCCCAGACUCCUGAGCAAAAUGGGAUAAAUAUCCAGCUACCUGAACCAGCGCUGUACACUACGUUUCUGAACACUUAUUCUGGACUCUUUGGCAUAACAGAGGUGAAUCAGGCCCAAAUGAAAAGAGAAUCUCUAUGAUCUGUCCCUGGUUUCUGGCAAACACACUGCCACAAGGACAGCAUAGCUGCUCUGCCCCCUUGCAAUUGUUGCCGUGUGAGCUGCUCCUUCACCUGCCUGCACCAUGCAACUCAAGCACUGCUGGCCACAAGGAAGAAGCGAGAAGGCCAUGGAAAAACUCCCUUUCCAGAGAAAGUGUUUUUAGACUUGAACACAGAGUGGAUUAAUCAGAAGUGUAACUGUUUGAUCAAUAAUGCAAAGACCCCAGCUCAGCCAUACAUACCAAGGUCCCACCACUGUUGUUAAAACAGAACAGAAAAGAAAGAUUUAUACAGCUGCUCUGGCCUGCUGGAGAACUACAGUUUGCAUAGUUUAAUGGACUGUUAAAACAAAGAGCAUCAACAAAUAUGGAGGGAACUUUGUUAAAGAGCAUCAACAAAUAUGGAGGGAACUUUGAAUUGAGUAUUUCAUCAACUAGGAGAGUGUUGAUGGAGAAAAUGCAACUUAAGUAAGCAUAACUGCAAAGUUGGCUAAGGAAUGCACUGCAAAGGGGCCCAGGGAAAGUGGCUUAGAGAUGUAAGUUGCCACCAGGGGCAAAUCAGACAGUAUUCGAGGUGUGUCCCAAGAUUGUUGUACCAACAUCUGUGGCCUAAUUUGUUGUACACAAGCUGGUGUGAUAAAAUGUAUUGCACAUAGAGACUGGAAAAUUCCAUUCCCACUUGAAAGAACUCAAAGCUGAUAUCUCAUUCCCUGAUUGGUUGGUGAGAGAGGAUGUCUCUCAUUUUGGUUGGACAUUUCACGUCUUUUGGAAGAAAUAUGGGUCACCAUCUGAUUGGCCCAGGCCAGCACCUCUAAGAAGAGAAACCACA